rnacentral:rRNA from 1 species
GACGAACGCUGGCGGCGUGCUUAACACAUGCAAGUCGAACGGAAAGGCCCUGCUUUUGUGGUGUGCUCGAGUGGCGAACGGGUGAGUAACACGUGAGUAACCUGCCCUUGACUUUGGGAUAACUUCAGGAAACUGGGGCUACUACCGGAUAGGAGCUCCUGCUGCAUGGUGGGGGUUGGAAAGUUUCGGCGGUUGGGGAUGGACUCGCGGCUUAUCAGCUUGUUGGUGGGGUAGUGGCUGACCAAGGCAUUGACGGGUAGCCGGCCUGAGAGGGUGACCGGCCACAUUGGUACUGAGGGACGGCCCAGACUCCUACGGGAGGCAGCAGUGGGGAGUAUUGCACAAUGGGCGGAAGCCUGAUGCAGCAACGCCGCGUGCGGGAUGACGGCCUUCGGGUUGUAAACCGCUUUCGCCUGUGACGAAGCGUGAGUGACGGUAAUGGGUAAAGAAGCACCGGCUAACUACGUG